rnacentral:rRNA from 1 species
AUUGAACGCUGGCGGCAGGCCUAACACAUGCAAGUCGAACGAGUGGCGGACGGGUGAGUAAUGUCUGGGAAACUGCCUGAUGGAGGGGGAUAACUACUGGAAACGGUAGCUAAUACCGCAUACCAUCAGAUGUGCCCAGAUGGGAUUAGCUUGUUGGUGGGGUAACGGCUCACCAAGGCGACGAUCCCUAGCUGGUCUGAGAGGAUGACCGGCCAAACUGGAACUGAGAGACGGUCCAGUCUCCUACGGGAGGCAGCAGGGGGGAAAAUUGCACAAUGGGCGCUAACCUGAUGCAGCCAUGCCGCGUGGAUGAAGAAGGGCUUCGGUUUGUAAAGGACUUUCUGCUGGGAGGCGUAACCCGCAAAAGAAGCACCGGCUAACUCCGUACCAGCAGCCGCGGUAAUAC